GAGCGGAGCGGGAGGAAAAAGCACCUCGAGUGGUGCUCCGAGCUCAACGCCAAGAAAUGGGCGGUGCCUGGAUGCCAGGCUCCAUCCGAAUGAGACGCCGAAGGCCGGGGCAGGCUGGCACAAAGGCGAGCUGGCAGGAAUUCCUGCACUCGGCGCUCUGAAAAUCCACCCUGAAGAGUUCUGCCCCAUUUGGCCCCGAAGGGCGCGAGCACAGAGCGGGGGGGGAUAGUAAUCAUAAUGGUAAAAAUGGGGCAGAAAUAAAGCUGGGACCUUCCUGUG
rnacentral:lncRNA from 7 species